CGCCUCGGUUUUUAAAAACAUAGCUUUAUGAAAUUUAUAUUAAGUUUGACCUGCCCAAUGAAUUAUUUUAAUGGCCGCAGUACUUUGACUGUGCUAAGGUAGCAUAAUAAAUUGACUUUUAAUUGAAGUCUAGAAUGAAAGGAUUAAUGAAUAUAAUCUGUCUUAUUAAAAAAUUUUUGAAAUUGCUUAUUAGGUGAAAAUACCUAAAGUAUAAUUUAAAAGACGAGAAGACCCUAGGAGUUUAUGAUUUUGUUGGGGUGACAGUAUAGCAAAUUUAACCUAUAUUAUAAUAUAGUAUAACAAUUUUUAUAAUAAAAAUUAAGCUACCCUAGGGAUAACAGCAUAAUUUUAUAUUAAGUUUAUGACCUCGAUGUUGGACUAGGGACUUUUUAAUAUUAAAUAUAUUAUUUGACUUGUUCUGUUCGAACAUUUUAUACCUACGUGAUCUGGUUUCAGA
rnacentral:rRNA from 1 species